rnacentral:rRNA from 1 species
CCUACGGGAGGCUGCAGUGGGGGAUAUUGCACAAUGGGGGAAACCCUGAUGCAGCGACGCCGCGUGGGCGAAGAAGUAUUUCGGUAUGUAAAGCCCUAUCAGCAGGGAAGAAGAAAUGACGGUACCUGAGUAAGAAGCACCGGCUAAAUACGUGCCAGCAGCCGCGGUAAUACGUAUGGUGCAAGCGUUAUCCGGAUUUACUGGGCGUAAAGGGUGCGUAGGUGGUUUCUUAAGUCAGAGGUGAAAGGCUACGGCUCAACCGUAGUAAGCCUUUGAAACUGGGGAACUUGAGUGCAGGAGAGGAGAGUGGAAUUCCUAGUGUAGCGGUGAAAUGCGUAGAUAUUAGGAGGAACACCAGUUGCGAAGGCGGCUCUCUGGACUGUAACUGACACUGAGGCACGAAAGCGUGGGGAGCAAACAGGAUUAGAUACCCGAGUAGUC